rnacentral:ncRNA from 2 species
UUUGGCAAUGGUAGAACUCAC